GGGGUCACCGCGCUCACCGUCGACCACCACCGGGGCAGCGAGGAGCAGCAGCCGGGCUGGGAGUACCACGACCC
rnacentral:tRNA from 1 species